rnacentral:rRNA from 1 species
UACGGGGGGGGCAAGCGUUGUUCGGAAUUACUGGGCGUAAAGGGCGCGUAGGCGGUUUGCUAAGUUGAAUGUGAAAUCCCCAGGCUCAACCUGGGAACUGCGUCUGAUACUGGAUGGCUUGAAUCCGGGAGAGGGAUGCAGAAUUCCAGGUGUAGCGGUGAAAUGCGUAGAUAUCAGUCGGAACACCGGUGGCGAAGGCGGCUCCUUGGGCCGUUCCUGACGCUGAGGCGCGAAAGCUGGGGGAGCGAACGGG